GCGGGGCUGCCCGGCGCGCCAGGCACUUCAUCCCCGGGGCCAAUGCACAUCCUCCGGGAGCUGGCUCUGCCCGGGCCGUGGUUCGGGUAUCUGGCGCCCACCUGCGAAAGCAGGCCUUGGGAGGAUGAGACGCCAGCGGCCAUGGUGGCUCCGCA
rnacentral:other from 1 species